rnacentral:rRNA from 1 species
UGCAUAUCAAUAAGCGGAGGAAAAGAAACCAACAGGGAUUGCCCUAGUAACGGCGAGUGAAGCGGCAACAGCUCAAAUUUGAAAUCUGGCCCUCGGGUCCGAGUUGUAAUUUGUAGAGGAUGCUUUUGGUGAGGUGCCUUCCGAGUUCCCUGGAACGGGACGCCAUAGAGGGUGAGAGCCCCGUCUGGUUGGACACCGAGCCUCUGUAAAGCUCCUUCGACGAGUCGAGUAGUUUGGGAAUGCUGCUCUAAAUGGGAGGUAUAUGUCUUCUAAAGCUAAAUACCGGCCAGAGACCGAUAGCGCACAAGUAGAGUGAUCGAAAGAUGAAAAGCACUUUGAAAAGAGAGUUAAAAAGUACGUGAAAUUGUUGAAAGGGAAGCGCUUAUGACCAGACUUGGGCUUGGUUGAUCAUCCUGGGUUCUCCCUGGUGCACUCUUCCAGUUCAGGCCAGCAUCAGUUCGCUGCGGGGGAUAAAAGUUUUGGGAAUGUGGCUCCUCCGGGAGUGUUAUAGCCCAUUUCAUAAUACCCUGCUCCGGACUGAGGUUCGCGCAUCUGCAAGGAUGCUGGCGUAAUGGUCAUCAGCGACCCGUCUUGAAACACGGACCAAGGAGUCGUCUUCGUAUGCGAGUGUUCGGGUGUUAAACCCCUACGCGUAAUGAAAGUGAACGCAGGUGAGAGCUUCGGCGCAUCAUCGACCGAUCCUGAUGUUCUCGGAUGGAUUUGAGUAAGAGCAUACGGGGCCGGACCCGAAAGAAGGUGAACUAUGCCUGUAUAGGGUGAAGCCAGAGGAAACUCUGGUGGAGGCUCGCAGCGGUUCUGACGUGCAAAUCGAUCGUCAAAUAUGGGCAUGGGGGCGAAAGACUAAUCGAACCUUCUAGUAGCUGGUUUCCGC